CAGGCCCCCAGUGCCUUCGAUUUGUACUGUACACACACACACACACACACACAUAUAUAUAUAUAUACGUCCUCAGUGAUGCGGAAGGCGAAAAAACAGCUAAACGGAUUCCGUGCAUCAUGGAUGCCGUUCUCAAUCGUUGCGGGCCAGCUGAGUACUGUAUGCAUACAGCAGAGCACCAGUGACGUUUUGUAGCUUAGGUUUUGUCGGAAGAAGCAGAAGAAGAUAUAUAAUAUAUCGCUGGUUAAGCUAUGGUAAAUUUAUAUAUAUAUAUAUACACAGCUAAGCUAGUAAAAAUACUUUGAACACAUACAA
rnacentral:sRNA from 2 species